AUUGGGAUAUUGAUUCCAUGGGACUAUGUCAUGGAAAACCCAUUGAGCCUUCUCAAAAUCUUUCUGAUAAUCCAAUAAUCCCAGAUGAAAUUAAUGAAAAUACUCCGAAUUCUUCAACUGAGAAAACUCCAAAAUUCCCAUUUUACAGUCCAAGUCCCUUUAAGAACUCACCUGCAAAUUAUAGCAUCACUUCUACUCCUCUCCGAUUGCUUAAGCGCCCAUUCCCUCCACCAUCACCAGCUAAACAUAUUAAGGCAUUUCUUGCAAGGAGACAUGGCUCGAUGAAGCCUAAUGAGGCCACUAUACCUCUUUUAUACUCCAUCUUUU
rnacentral:lncRNA from 1 species